CCUGGCUUCAGUUGCAGGAGUAGCAGACAACCUAUGCAACAAAAGCUGCUGCAGAGCCGAGCGACCGUCCGACGGCUGAGCGGACACAAACACCGGAGCCAGCGGCUGACACCACCCGGCGAGGUACGACUGCAGGGCUUGAAGUUGCAGCCUGGACCAAAACGUCGACGUCUCAGCGACAUUUAUGAAGCUUUCAAGGCCUUUUAAUUGAUCAGCCAAUCGAUGGGGAUUUUCAGAGAAGCUCCGCCUACCUACGCUGCCUUCCCUCCUCCCCCUCCCCCUCUCCCCCCCCGUAGGCCUCCUCCUCACCCCCACCCACCCCGUCGUCCAGGCCUCCAUCCAGCCCUCCAUACACAAAAUGACUCUGGAACUCACUGAGUGGUCUUCUAUAUGGAUUUUUACAGCUUGUAAUAGACAGUAAGAAAAAGAGGGAGAAACCUCAAUGACAAAAAAGCCAUAAAACACACACACACAUACACACCACACACCACAC